AUAACCCGCAUCCACCAUAUAUCAUCCAAUGAUGAGCCCCGAUGACCCCUUCUCUCCACUUUUGGUGAUUUUGGGAGUUUAGACAGCUGUUGCGCCUGGCAUACCGUCAAGCUGAGUAUGGGAAAAGUGCAGGCAACUGUCUUUCAGACUUGGCUUCCCAGUUUGCACUACAAUCCCACGAGGGCAGAGCUUGUAGGGAAAGCCUGCUAGGUUUCCCCAGGUAUCCUCAGACAGAAAGGAAUGUGUAAUGAGGCACAAAUCCUAAGAGUGCUACCCAGAGGAAACUUGGCCUCCUCUGACAGCAGUUCCUGGGGCCACACGUGAUCCCAGGGAGCCCCCAAGUUGCUCUCAGGACUGUACCAGUUCAGGCUCCCCUCCCCUACUUGACCUCAAACCAGGCUUGAACUCCGCCCUUCCUGGCUCUCUCCCUUUGCACUCAAGGACUUCACUGCCCACCCCCAUGGGGAAGCAGACAGGCGGGCACCACCUUCCCAAGCUGGGUGAGAGGGACAAACUCCCCAACCUCCCUGAGCUCUCAGGGAAUUGUCCUUGGUGGGUAGGUCCUAAGCCCCUUUUAGAAGUCAACUUCAAGAAGCCUCUGGGCCUCCCGCCUUUAUUCCUUGGGUAGGACACAUCCUACUUCCUCUCUUCCUCCCCUCCUCUGCUGUAGGCUCCCCUCCUCUAUCAUGCAGGCCCACCCCUGCAGCAGGGUCAGCGAGCAAUAGCCUGGACUCCAGUUCAAGGCUGCAGGGCUCCAGGACACCUUUUCAUUUGAGGGGAGCACCAGACUGGGCACUGUAGUCAUUGGGGCCCCUGCUCUUCCUAGACAAGUUCACCUCGGCCCAUUCCCACACCUCACCUUCAAAAGUUGCCAGAAUUGGAAAAUAAAAAUACAGGUCACUCACUUACAUUUGAAUGUCAUGUAAACAAUGAAUUUUGUUGUAUAAGUAUGUCCCAUGUAAUAUUUGAAAUAUACUUACAUUAAAAAUGAUGUGUGUGUGGUGAGUGUGUGUGUCUGAAAUUCAAAUGUAAUUGGCAAUCCUCCUGCCACCCGCCCAGCCUAAUGAGUCACAACCACACUGGUGUUUUCACAGGACAGCAAGUCAAGCCACCAGCCUAGGCUGGAGACAUGAUACCAACCGUGGUGUCAGAAAACAAGUUUGAGCUUUCCUACCCUUCUCAUGCCCAGCAGAAUUCAGGACCCAGGGUGGGGAGAGCUCAGAAAUGACUUGCAGGGGACCAUCUGUCUCCUUCCAGCCAUGGGCAAAUUAUCAUCUUUCUCAAGUCCUCUCGGGUCUCAUUUCCAACUGAAGCCUGAUUUCCUUAUGGUCACAGCAGGAGUUCUCAACAUCCUGGGGCUCUAACUCAACGACAAGACACUGGGCCUUCUCUUCACACCCUGGGAAGCCUGGACUGGGACAAGGGAAAGAUGAGGGAGCCUCCUGAAGUUUUCAUACCGGGAGCCAUCAGAAAGGGUACAUGUGGUGAGCCUCUGCUCUUACAGAACACAGGCUUUGAAAAAGACUUCACAGAGGAUUCAUGCUGCCCCUGCCCCUAGGAAGCCCCUCUUCAGCUCCUCUGCCAAGAGGCCAUCUCUCCUUAAUCUCCGUUUUAUUGUGGUAAAGUGUACAUAACCGAAAUCUACCAUCAUAACCAUUUUAAGGUGUACAAUUCAGCAGCAUUUAGGACAUUCACAACAUUGGGCAACCAUCACCAUUAUCUAGUCCCAGAACAUUUUUGUUACCAAAAGAGAAGACCCCAUACCCAUUAGCAGUCACUUCCUAUAUCUUAGCCCCUAAUCCCCUGGCAACUCUCUCUGUGGCUUUGUCUGUUCUGGAUAUUUCUUAUAAAUGGAAUCAAAUAAAUGUGGCCUUUUGUGACUGGCUUCCUUCACUU
rnacentral:lncRNA from 10 species